UACGUAGGGUGCAAGCGUUAAUCGGAAUUACUGGGCGUAAAGCGUGCGCAGGCGGUUUUGUAAGUCAGAUGUGAAAUCCCCGGGCUUAACCUGGGAACUGCGUUUGAAACUACAAGGCUAGAGUGUGGCAGAGGGGGGUGGAAUUCCACGUGUAGCAGUGAAAUGCGUAGAUAUGUGGAGGAACACCGAUGGCGAAGGCAGCCCCCUGGGUCAAGACUGACGCUCAUGCACGAAAGCGUGGGGAGCAAACAGG
rnacentral:rRNA from 1 species